rnacentral:rRNA from 1 species
ACGUAGGAGGCAAACGUUAUCCGGAUUUACUGGGCGUAAAGCGCGUGUAGGUGGUUCUGUAAGUAGGGCGUGAAAGCUCCCGGCUCAACUGGGAGAGGCCGUUCUAAACUGCAGAACUAGAGGAUGGUAGAGGGAGGUGGAAUUUCAGGUGUAGCGGUGGAAUGCGCAGAUAUCUGAAGGAACACCAGUGGCGAAGGCGGCCUCCUGGACCAUUCCUGACACUCAGACGCGAAAGCUAGGGGAGCAAACGG